UACGUAGGGUGCAAGCGUUGUCCGGAUUUAUUUGGGCGUAAAGAGCUCGUAGGCGGUUUGUCGCGUCGGAUGUGAAAACCCAGGGCUCAACCCUGGGCCUGCAUUCGAUACGGGCAGACUAGAGUAUGGCAAGGGGAGACUGGAAUUCCUGGGUGUAGCGGUGAAAUGACGCAGAUAUCAGGAGGAACACCGGUGGCGAAGGCGGGGUCUCUGGGCCAAAAACUGACGCUGGAGGAGCGAAAGCGUGGGGAGCGAAACAGGA
rnacentral:rRNA from 1 species